rnacentral:lncRNA from 1 species
UGUAGCUGUGUGAGUUUAGAAUGAAUUCUCUGUUAGGUUUCAUUGAUUGUCAUGUCCGUUUUUGUGCUAGUAUCAUGAUGGUUUUGUUGCUAUGGCUGUGUAUGGUAAGUUGAAGUCAGGUUUGGUGAUAGUUCCAGCAUUGGUUUUGCCUUUAGAACUGAGUGGCUACCCAUGCACAGUGGGUUUUAUUUUUGUGCUUCCAUAUAAUCAUUAAGAUUGUUUUUACUACUUUUGUGAAGAAUAAUAAUCAAUUUGAAAGAAAUUUCAUAAUCUAUGAAUAUUUAUCUAUUUAUAACUUUGAACUAUUUUAAAUCUACAUUGUAGAAAUGAGGACAGGUAAAGCAAUAAUAGACUACAGUUCACUCCAGUUAGGAAUAAUAAGUUAUAUCAUAAAUUUAUUAUAUUUAAGAAAAUAUGUGAAUUCAAUAAAAAAUCUAAUAUAAUCUACAUAAACAUAAAUCACUUGGUCUCAAUAAUUUCUUUUUAAUUUAGUGUUUCAGUAUGCUUUCCAGAAACCAAUUAUAGUCAAUGGACAAUGUAUUUAAUAUGAUUAAAUGUAACUGAUUCUUAUUUUAACUUUUUAUUUUUAUUUUUAUUAUGUUUUUCAUGAUACUGUAUAUUCAGUGGUUCACACUCAGUAUGGCACAAAACACCCAAAUUUUGAAUUGCGUUUUCUCAUUGUUUGAUUAGGUUGAACACACUGAAAGCAUUUCUGUGAGGCAUUGCUCAUGUGUCCUAGCAAGUGGACUAGGUAAUGCUUCCUGAUACUGACAUAUUUACUAUGUUAAUAGCAUCCUCAUAAUAUAUAGCUGAAUCCUUGCUUAGAUUCACAUUCAUCACAUCUCAUAACCAAAACAAUAUUGUUUUUCUGUUUCUCAUCACCAAUAAAACAAGUGAUAUAUGAGUGUGGGUGUAGAUAUUUUAGGAUGGUUGAAUACUUCUUUUCAACAUGCUUAGUAAUCCUGGUGUGAAUACAUAAUUACAUAGAAAAUGGAAUAUUAUUUUCCUGAGCUUCUUUUUUAUGUCAUUCAACAUUGUUUUGAUAAAUUAAUAUUAUUACUCCAUUUUUUUAAAUAGAAUUCCUAAAAAUGGCUACUGGGAGUUUGUCCAUUCAACUCCUGUGUGUUCUUCUGCUUCCAUUUAUCUUUGAGUACAUCUGGUGUAGCUUCUGGCUCAUUCUGUGUUUUUCUUUCUCAAACAUAAACUAAGGAUGAGGAUUUGAGAUUUUGUAUACAAGAUAUUGAUGCUGGAUUUGGUCCUUGUUAGACAUGGCUCCAUCAGGAUCAGGAAGGUAAAUGGCCUUAUAGGUUAUGCCUAAAGUGUUCCUUAGUAGUGUAUAUUUUGUCUCAUAACACACUCAAUUGGUUUUGGGUGUCUGUUGGUCUCUCCCAGAUACCAUGACGAAGUCAGGUGUUGCAGGAGAGAUUUACAGCCUACAAAGCCAAAAGUAUUUGCCACAACCUUUCAUGAAUCUUAUCUUGAAUACGUUGGCAAUUUCUUAGUUAUAUCUUCUACUUGAGUUUUGUUGACAUACUAUUUUUAAUUUGUAAGUUCAUUUUUCCCCCCUGGCCAAAUAGAAUAACAGUGACUGAUUACAUCAAUGGCCUAAAAGAUCCAAAGAACAAAAUUAGACUAAACAAGUCAGACCCAGCAUGUGAAAAAUAGAUUUCAGGAUGCUAACUGCUAUGGUAAGUUAGUGAAAGAGAACACUUUUAAAGAAAUUCCCCCUGUUUAUUACCUUGGGAGUUUUUAUAAACACAUAUAGGCAACAAAUUCUAGGAUGGAAUUUAAAGAACAUUCAGGAUGGGAGAAGGUGUAUUCUGUAUAUAAAGAUAGCUGCAUACAAUUCUCUGUGUGUACAAGUGUAUAUGUGUAUUCACAUGUGUAGUGUACAAACAUGCGUUUGUCCAUGAGUGUAGAGUUCUGAGGUUGAUAUCUAGUGUCUUCAUGGACCUCUUAUCAGUGUAUAUACUGGAGAAAAUUUCUUUGCUGAAACUAGAGCAUGCUGAUUCAGGUAGUCUUAUUAGCCAUUUUGUCCUAAGGGUCCCCAGGCUCCAUCUUCUGAGCAGAUGAUUACCAAAAACACUAGCACACCAGGCAGGCGUUUCAUGUAAGUGCAGAGGACUCAAACUCAGGUUUCCUUGCCUGUGCAGCAAGCAAGUUCUUUAGUUACUGAGCCAUCUCCUCAGCUAAGUAUUAUCUAUCAUCUGUCUAUCAUUCUAUCUGUCUGUCUAUCUAUCUAUCUAUCUAUCUAUCUAUCUAUCUAUCUAUCUAUCUGGGUUUCUAUGUGUAGCCCUGGCUGAACAUUUUCUGCAGACCUGGCUGACCUCAACCUCAGAGAUUUGUCUGCCUCUGCUUCUGGAGUGCCGAGAUUAAAGUCAUGUGCCACCACCGUCUUGCUUGAAUUAUUUCUUUUCAAUAAUUAUUUUUUCCAGUUCAAUUACCUAUGACAGAUAUUUUCUGAUGAGUGCUUGCCAUUAUUUUGCAUUUGAAAACAAUGUCAGAAUGAAUAAAAUUUGACAACUUUUGGUAGAUUUGGCACAUGGGAGGUUAAAUUGAAAUCACUGUUUUAUUGAAGUUAAGUGUUUGAUGAUAUGUUUGACCAUUGAUACAGUUUCUCUGAUGAUUCAUCUUUAUCUCUGUUGGAUUUUUAAAGACAUAUUUCUAUCCCAGAGAGGCUGAUAUUUUUUGACAUAGAUUACAAGUGUUGUGUUAGCUCUUCAUUUGUACUUGCAUUCUGCUUUGCCUGUGUUUUAUUUUAGAACAUUGGAGAUAUUUUGUUGAAGUUGAACUUAUUAAUGUUUUAUUUUUCUAGAUAUUUAGUUGAGAUUAAGAAAAAUAUCCCUACUUAUAAAGGAGUCCUUCCACUGUUUACACAGCCUAUCGUUUUAUCUUAAACAUAUAUAUAUAUAUAUAUAUUACAAAUAAUUUAUUGUUCUGAGACAUGUUAUUUAUGGAAGUAGCCCAUGUGCACUUUUUCAUGACAGUGCUUUUGCCAGGCAACUAUAUUUCCAUAUAUUCUUGGGGUUGUUUCUGUUCCUCGAUGCUGUUCUGUAGAAAAGGGUCAUGGCUCUAUUUGCCUAGAAUGUUUUUCUAUGUGUAAUGGUGGGUAUCUCCAUUGUUAUUACUUUCUAGUGAUCAUUUUAGUUAUCAUUUAUAACUUUAGCAUCAACCUUAUUUAGCUGAAGAAAGUGAAAGUGGCAUUUUUAUAAACACCAUGACAGUUUACAUAUUUUCAUAGUCACUAAGAGAUAGCUGCAAAUUCUUUGUUACCCCCUUCUUUGAGAGAUAGCAUCUAGCUUUCUUUCCCUUGAUCUGUACUGAAAGUGGUGAUUUACAUGUCUCUUGGGACAUAGGAGUGAUGACAUUGUGUGACAAAGCAUCCAGGACAGGUUCUAGACUCCUGAUGCUUUACAAAGAUUUCAAAAAUCUAUUUUGGAGAAAAACAGCUUUCCCAGUAAAUGAUGCUACUACUC